CUCACGUAGCAUGUCCCUUGAACCUGGGGGCUUCACUACAAGGGUGCAAAUGUCACACAAUAAGCCCUUUUCAACACUCAGUUAGCUACAUCUUCUCAGAAGGAGAUCAUGUGAGUAGUAGGAGUAGAAACUUUACUUAAUACCCCUCCCACCCCUGUGUUGCCAAGAGAGGCUGCUGGCCUCACCAUGACACGCAGGGCCUUUUUAGGGUGACCUUACUGAAACACCCGCAUAAACUUUCACCAUGUGGCAGGACAGCGGCUUCAUGCUGCGGUCUUUGACUCGUUUCCACUGCAAAACAGUUGCCCACUGUAAGCUGGUUGGAGAUUUCAAUCAGUAGGUGUGGAAAUGGGGUGUAAUUGUGAUGCGUGAAAAGAUCUAAGCUCAGCAGACCAAACUUCCUUUGUUUGUGGGUGUCGUUUUUAGGAAACACUGAAAAUCACUUUUUUGAGACCCACAUUUUAGUUUCGUAAAGACUCCAAGAAAGUCUUUCGUCCGCUGUAAGAUUUAGACCCUUGGAUUUGCAUGUGCAAUUCAGGAACGCAAAUCCAGUAAUUCUGUGCUUUUGGGCACAGAACCAAAAACCCACACAGUUAAAAAUGUCUUUGGAUCUUUUUACUGUCUGAUUAUAAUCUCGUCGAGCUAAUCUCUCCCGCGCUUUUCACCUAAAUAAUAUGAGAUCCAGGCGUCCUGCAGUUUUUCUUCUUAUUGGACGCUGCAAGAUAUUUUCUUGGUGCUCUGAGGGUAAACAUUUGCUCCUGAAAAAUUAACAAAAAAUAAUGGGGAAUAUGUAUCAUCGCUGACACUUUCAAAUUGAACUGGGGCCUUGAAUCAUAUCUGAGUUAACUGAAGAAGCCAUUCCUCAGUGCUGAUAAUGGAGGGUAGAGCCCAGGGACUCUGUAAUUACCAUGUCUGUGAGGUAACAGCACAUUCAUUAUGGCACAGAGAGCUUCUUCAGGCUCAGUCCUUGGGGACAGAGGUGAGAAGCUUCCCAAAGACAUGCUGGGAAAUACUGCAGCAUCUAGUCUAUGUUAUACGGUAAUUUGCAGUAGGGUCUCAGUUAUGAAUCUGCCUGUUCUCGAUUAAAAUAACACACAAAGUCGCACAAAUAGCUGAGCUACAUUUCACUCGUGAAAUAAAAAAACACAAAAAUAUGUACAUUACCCCACAAACCUGUACAGGAUAACCAGUAGGAAGAUGGAUGAGCAAGUUUAUUAAUGAAAGGUGAACGCAGAGCUCUUACAUUCUUUAUGUGAUAUACGCUGAUAUCCUGAAGUUGUUCCAGGAGGUUUGGCGAUAUUAUGUUGUUUUGCGGGUGUCGAUGAUUCACUUUUUAAGAACAUUUGACAUUCCAAUAAAUGAGCACAUCUGUUUUAAACAUCCAGGCUUCUGAACAAUAUAACAUCUUUGUCCUGUAGAUGGAAAGGAUUUAUUUUACCUACUUAUCCCCAUCAGGGUGGAGGGAACACGCGUAGCACUUAGCGGUCAUGGGUCAUGUUUUACAGUCACUCCUUAUGUUUGGAGGCGAGAAAGGAGAAGGACAGUGUAUCCGCGGGGUCAAACGGGGGGCAUGUUUCCCAGUGACGUGCUAACGACACACGCUGCCGUUUCGGUGCUGCUCUCAGACUGGUUGUCGUUAGCAGGUGGGACUGAGAGUAAACAUCUGGUGUUGUGAGUGAGAGUUAACAUCUGGUCUAGCUUCUGAUUUUUUUCUAGACCCUGUGGUAGAAGGAAAGGAUGGAGGUCUUCUGCUGGGACCUCAUAGCAGUUGUAACUGCUUUUCUUUUUCGGUUUAACUGCUGCCAAGUCUGGGGGGAAAUUAUCCCAAUGAAAACUUGGGUUUCUCUUUAUGAUAAUUUAUUGGUAGUUGGACACCAUGCUGGACCCAGUACUGGACACUACUAUGGACUGCUUUGGGCUGAGGGGUUAACACUGUUAAUUUCCUCUUGAAUCCAGUUUCUCAGAAAACUGUACUGAUUGUACCAUGAGCUCCACCGCCGACCCCCACACCAGUUUCAAGGAAGCCUGUAGAAGAGUGUUUCACGCCAGAAACAUCUCGCUUUCUGUCAUCACUCCUUCUCUCCCUCCCACACAGACAGACACACUCUAAGUCUAUAUCCAACGAUGGAGAAUCUCACAUUCACAUCAUUACACCAGUGCUUUCAAAAAGAAACAUCACUAUAUUUAAACUUCAAAAAAUAUAAAGUGAUGUGAGCUCAGAUUAAACUGUAUGAAUUCUAAGGACAUCUUUUAGCAAUAUCAUCUCUCGCUGUUAAGGGAAAUUUACUCAUAGAUCACGGUGACAAUUAUUGGAUUAUGGGGCCCUCUUGUGGUAGUUUUCCAUUAUGACAUUCUAUUAUACCCGUUUCAUGACAUGCGGGGUCAAAAUGUCCCCAUUAUACUAUUUAGUGACUUAUGACAGUUCUUUGUGUGAUUUUACUAUAACAUAGCAUUAUAUGGUGGUGGAAUUGUGGCCGCACUUCUCUGGAGUUGGGAGUUUGAAUCCCACCUCUGCUGUUUGUGUGUGUGUGUGUGUGUGUGGGGGGGGUACUUUGCAUGGCCCUCCUUCAUCAUACAGGUGUCCUCCUGCAGUCUAAGGGCAGGUGGUUAGGCUAAUCGAUAUCUCUAAAUGGCCCUUAGUGUGCCGGGCCUGCAAGGCAGCAGCAUCCCAUCCAGGGUGAACCCCAGUAUGACAUACACUAAAUACCCCUGCAACAAUCAUAAUUUAACGCUCACUCCUUACAUAACGCUCACUCCUUACAUAACGCUCACUCCUUACAUACGCAUACGUCACUUUUUCUGAUCGAUGUCCCACAUCUCUGGCUCCUCUUUUUUUCUUGUCUUUUUCAAUACAACUUUCUGUUCCUUAUUUACACAUUUACCAUGAUUAUUUAUUAAAUAGUUCUCUUAAAUUUUUUGUCCUUCGACUGAUACUACUAUUCUUUUGUUAUGGUGAAACUGAUCACUUUUCAUUUCACUGCAUACCUGGCAUGUGACAAAUAAAAAUCAUUAGUGUUAUAAUGCAUCGUACCAGAAGGGGGCAGCAUGCUAGAAUAAAACAACAAAAUGCAUUAUUUUCACCGUAAACACAAACAUAUCUUCUAGGGUGUUUACGCAUCUCCCUACGGCCGGCAGGGUACAAGCUGCUCAAGGACAGGGGGUUUUUUUAAUCCAGAGAGUGUCCCAGAAUGACUCCCGUGAUGCUCCCAUUUCCAGGUACUGAAUGUGCACUUUACUUAUGGAAUGGGCGUGUGCCUCUGUGGGUUAGGAUGCUAUGCCAGUGAUCAGAAGGUCAUUGGUUCAAAUCCCAUGGUUGACGGAAUGCUUUCACUGUUGGGCCCUUGAACAAGGCCUUUAUCGCCUGCUUGCUCCAGGGACUGACUGACCCUGCUUUGUCAGUUGUACGUGGAUAAAAGCAUCUACUAAAUAAACAUACCGGGUGGCUCUGUACUAUUCAAACCCGAGCUGGUUUCAUUCUCGGUCUGGCUGGGAAGCCAUCACUCCUCCUCCCAAGCAGAUCCAGAAUGAGCAUCCCUUAAACGGCAGAUUCAGUCGCUGCACGGUAAACACGCUGGCGGCUGAUGUAAGUGCGCCACGCUGACAAGGCAGCUUGCGGCCUGCCGGCCCUGCGACUCCGCACAAAGCGGCAGUGUUGAGUGGCCCCGGUGCUUCUGAAGGACUCGGGUCAGAGAAGAAGCCGCCAGCACACACAGCCGCGGCAUUGUCCCCGCGCUCGCGGGCACGGCCGGCCGGAUACCGCUCAAUGCUGCCGGCCUCUCACACCCCACAAUCCUCUCUUUUCACGCGUGACAUUUAACCAACAUUAAUAACACAUCUGUGGGUGGGGGGUGAGGGCCGACAGAAAAUCAUCGAAAGAGGGACAGAGAGGGAAUGUGGUCUUAGGUGAGGGCACUUAGGAACAGGGCUCUGCUGAUGUGUAACUACAGAUCACAGAGCAGAGAGGAGCUCAUAACAGGGGGGUGAUGUGUGGCUUAGCGGUCGUGUUGUACCUCUGAACAGAAGGUUGCUGGUUCAACUCCCAGAUUUGUCUGAGUGGCUUCUGCUGUUGGGUCUUUGAGCGACGCACACACACAUGGAGACAACCGGCUUGAGAGUAUCCGUGUGUGAAAGGCAAUCCAAAUUACCCACACUCUCUGUUAACACCUAGACCUCCAGCAACAUAAUUAACCUUGUCAUGGUGUAUUAUCUGAAAAAAGCCUUCUAGACCUUUCUACUACUCGUGCUCUUGCAGGUACCAAACAGAAGCAAAGAAAAUAAAAUGUAAAGUAAACAGCCAUCAGAAAGGAGGAAGUUUCACUUUUGUUUUUCGGUUGUGACACUCGAGACGGCUGCCGGCAAAGACAAUUCCAGCUACUUCCAAGACACUAGAGCGUGUGGCAGAACAUCGUUAGUUUACAUGUUACCGGAAAAAAAUAACAAAAAACCUAGAAAACAAAAGUGGAGGAACCAAAACUGUAUAAACCCCCUGCAAACCCCACAGCUACACAGGCUGCUUGCAGAAUCCCCCCACCCAGCAUUGUCUUGGGGGUACAAAGGAAGGACACACAUUAGGCAUGAGAAAUGGCUCACGUCACUCUCUGCCCUUGUGUGCUGCACCUUGCAAAGACAGGCUGCUUUUAAAAGCCUCCACUGAGCGUGACACAGGUCUAAUUAUAGCAGGAAAUGCAGGGCAGAGGUGUUGACUUUCAAUCUAAAGUCCGCAACUUGCCCCCCAGUGGGCCAGUUACCGGGGUUACCCAAAACACACAUUCCAGAAUGGAGUCCGACAGACUGAUCUGGCCCAAUGCACCUCAAGAUCCAUAAAACGGCAAACGCUCUGCAGACCUGUAUCGAUGAAUGAUAUUACUUAGGGGAAGGUUUCAAAGCUGUUUCAGAGAGUUUACCCUUGAACACAACCUGCUGGACAGGCAGACAACCACCUGAUCAGCACUAGAGAAUCUGCUGGAAAGAGAAACAGGAUCUGAGAAGCAAUUCUGAGAAGUUGUCUUCUCUGUACUGGCUUAACCACGUCACCCAGGACAGCAUACAGAGUCUGACACAUCCUACACGAGACUCUCAGGCAUAAUGUCAAGUCCUGGCUUGAUCCCGGACAAGCCAGAUACAGCCGACAGCCUAUCAGAAGGGAGCCUUGCAUUCCUAGAGAAGAGGUUCCACCUACACCAGUACUGAUCAUCAGGCAGUAAUCCAGAGCCCGCUUAUGUAGAUUAGAGUCUCUCCUUCCAUAGGUACAUCUACAUCUCAUUGCUCACUGGAGGUGCAAACCCUUCCUAUAACCCAGCACCACACAAAGGCCUGGCAUGAGCAAAGUGGUGAGAGGUCGGACAUCUUCAGUGAUUCAAGAAAUCUUCAGACCAGGAGCAGAGGUGGAUAGUUCAGGUCCAGAGAGUAAAAGUCCAGACCAAGAUUUUGAUUCAACCGACCAGUUGAGCAUUAAGAGUCACAGUCACUUAGCAUGUUUUUAUAUAUAAUAUCAUAAAUGAUGUAAAUUAUCGAUGAUGUAAAUGUUAUAAUUGUUAUUAUUAUUGUUCAUCAAAAUUUGUGCGUAUGUAUACACGUGUAUAAUGUAUAUUAAUCACAAUUAAAAUCAAAGAUCAUACUGAAACCAAACAAAACAUGCAACUGUGCACCAGUUUUAAUAACUGAAUAAUAGAGUGCAUGUCUGCACGUGUGUGUUUGUGUGUGUGUUAGUCACCAUCAGAAUCACAGUGGUAACAGGUGUAUUAAACUCCUCAUAGGGUCCCACACCGACGCUCCAUGGA